CGUAUAUUAAAGUUGUUGCGUUUAAAACGCCCGUAGUUGAGGCGACGGCCCGUCUCCUGUGUAAAAAGCAGCAGAAUGCGCGGGGCCAUUCCCCUCGUGCGCGUGCGUGCCCUCGCGGGCGCGUGUGCGCAGCCGGGGGGAGAUACUGUGCCCCGUCGGCCACUGUAUUGUGUUCGUGGGCGUGGCCUUCGCGCCGCGCCCGCGAUCCCGUUACCAUAAAGAAAUUGGAGUGUUCCACGCAGGCAUUAUUUAAAGACGCCCUCGCACAGUCCAGUAUGGAAUGACAGCGGAUGACUUACGCCCGUCUGUUGGUUCUUUGGUGCGUAGAGUAAUGUUCGAUAGGGGCGGUGCGGGGGCAUUAGUGCUGGAGCGGGAAAGGUUAAAUUUCAUGAUCGCUCCAAGACUGCCGAGGGCGAAAGCGCUUGCCAAGUACGCUUUCGUUGAUCAAGGACGAAAGCUGGGGGAGAGAAGGAGAUCAGACACCUCCGUAUUCCCAGCCGUAAACGAUGCCGACCAGGGCCCGGGCGUGCACCUACACUGCUCCGGUCUCCUCCGGGACCUCGCGAGAAAUCCGAGUAUCCAGGUUACGGGGGGAGUAUGGUCGCAAGGCAGAAACUUAAAGGAAUUGACGGAAGGGCACCACAAUUGGCGUGGAGCCUGCGGCUUAAUUGGAUUCAACGCCGUGAAACUUACCAGGCCCAGACUCGCCAGGGAUUGACAGAUUGACAGAUCUUUCGUGAUCGCGAGAGUGGUGGUGCAUGGCCGUUCUCAGUUCGUGGGGUGACCCGUCUGCUUAAUUGCGAUAACGGACGAGACCUCCGCCGGCUAAAACCAGGGCGUGCCCGCGCCGACGGCCGGGACGGGCUCCGCGCCCGCUCCGGGACAAACCGUCGGCGCCGCGCCCGCACCGAUAGGGGGGGGCAGCCGCUGCAUUCUCUCGAGAGUCGCUGCCGCUGCCCGCAGGGUGUGAUCAGUCGGCACCGCGCAAGCGGAACCGACAACGCUCAAAUCCCCCUUCUUAGAGGGACCGUUGCUGUGAGGCGCGAGGAAGCGCGAGGCAAUAACAGGUCUGUGAUGCCCUUAGAUGUCUCUGGGCCGCACGCGUGCUACAAUGGCGAAGGACACUGUGUGCGCUCCGAACCCGGCAGGGGGAGGGACUCACUGCAAUCUUCGUCACGGCUGGGAUUGACGCUUGGAACUCUUCGUCAUGAACCCGGAAUGCCUCGUAAGCGCGCGUCACCAUCGCGCGCUGA
rnacentral:rRNA from 1 species